rnacentral:rRNA from 1 species
CCUAUGGGUGGCAGCAGUGAGGAAUAUUGGUCAAUGGGCGGAAGCCUGAACCAGCCAAGUAGCGUGCGGGAUGAAGGCCCUACGGGUCGUAAACCGCUUUUGCACGGGGACAACACCCUCCACUUGUGGAGGUCUGCAGGUACCGUGCGAAUAAGGGCCGGCUAAUUCCGUGCCAGCAGCCGCGGUAAUACGGAAGGCGCGAGCGUUAUCCGGAUUCAUUGGGCUUAAAGGGAGCGUAGGCGGGCGUUCAAGUCAGCUGUAAAAUCGCGGGGCUCAACCGCGCCCCGCAGUUGAAACUGGUGGCCUUGAGUGCGCGAGAGGCAGGCGGAAUUCGUGGUGGAGCGGUGAAAUGCAUAGAUAUCACGAAGAACCCCGAUUGCGAAGGCAGCAUACCGGGGUGCGACUGACGCUGAGGCUCGAAGGUGCGGGUAUCAAACAGGAUUAGAUACCCUAGUAGUC